rnacentral:rRNA from 1 species
GACGAACGCUGGCGGCGUGCUUAACACAUGCAAGUCGAACGGUAAGGCCCUUCGGGGUACACGAGUGGCGAACGGGUGAGUAACACGUGGGUGAUCUGCCCUGCACUUCGGGAUAAGCCUGGGAAACCGGGUCUAAUACCGGAUAGGACUCCGGACUGCAUGGUCUGGGGUGGAAAGCUUUGCGGUGUGGGAUGGGCCCGCGGCCUAUCAGCUUGUUGGUGGGGUGAUGGCCUACCAAGGCGACGACGGGUAGCCGGCCUGAGAGGGUGACCGGCCACACUGGGACUGGGAUACGGCCCAGACUCCUACGGGAGGCCGCAGUGGGGAAUAUUGCACAAUGGGCGCAAGCCUGAUGCAGCGACGCCGCGUGAGGGAUGACGGCCUUCGGGUUGUAAACCUCUUUCAGCACAGACGAAGCGCAAGUGACGGUAUGUGCAGAAUAAGCACCGGCUAACUUCGUGCCAGCAGCCGCCGUAA